ensembl:lncRNA
AUGGUUGUUGAAAGCAGAGAGUUGAAACCAGGAGAAAAGGUCCGUGUGCAACUGAAGAAUCUCCAGCCAAACACCACAUACACGGUGUACAUCAUGACCUCAUCUAUUGCUGGAUUCAACAAAAGCAGCCUGAACACUUUUACCACAAAGCUAUUUGGUCAAAGGUUCAUCAUAGGGCUUGUUCUUGCCGCAGUUGGAGCAGUGAUAUUCUUCAUAUUGUGCUUGUCUGGCCUUAUUUUGUGGAUGAAAACUGCCAAUCGAUUGAUUCCAGACCCAGGCUUUAGCAGUCUAGCAGAAUGGCCUCCCAAAAACUGGAAAAAGAUCAACCUCAUGAACGUUUGGGAAGCCUCUGAACCUGGAGAUGCCAUUCUGGCAGACCAUAUGUGUAACAUGAAGGAAAAACAGCCAUUGAACAUGAAACCCACAGAGAAUUGUAUGGAUGUGUGUGAUUGGACUGGGUCCUCUCAGACCACGGUUUCUGGAGAAGACACCAACUGCUGGAGUGGUAUGACAGAUACAACAUUGCUCUCAAAAUCCUCAGGGUAUGAAGAUCCACCCAGAAACCCUCCAGGAAGUGCAAUGCGAGAAUCCAAGCAGCAGGCACACAUAACCCCCCAUGAAAACUUCCUUCAUGAUGCCAGAAGCAAUGGUUUGAGCAAGUGGCAUCCAGGGCAAGAAGGCAUGAGUACUACUGAAACAAUCAUGCCAUACAUAUCACUGGAUACAUCCGAGAAGUAG